UCACUUCUUGGUAGAUACGCCUCUGCUGCAGGAUGGCUAGGCACAAGGCCUUCCAUGUCACAGGACUUGAGCUCAAGUCCUAGCUUCUCUAGAUGACAGAGCUUUUGUGAUGCUGAGAAGUUUCCUAUGCUUUUUCUGAGUGUCAAUUAGUCUUAGUGAUCAAACGGGACAGCAAAACCUUCUUUACAACAGGGAGAAGGAAACGACAUCAUUAACUUUCUCAUUAAUAUUUAGAUUACUGUUAGGAUAUCCAAGUAUAAGGGAAAUAAGGCAAAUUUUUUUCCAUGAUUUUGAAACUGACAGAGAUUUGAUUUUCUAAUAUAAUUUGUUAGAAAAUUUUGAUAUGGACCAGACAAGUAAAUAUGGCAGACCUACCCUGUUUGUUGUUUGAUGAUCAAAAAGGAGUUGUUAUGACGGAACUAAGACUGAUGGAUAUUACUGGAUUUGUUUAUAUGUUAUUUGGCUGAACUUUGAAGGAUGUACACAGAUGUGUAGGUUAGGUGAGUGUGUGUGUCUGCAUGGUUCCAGCCUGGGUGAGUGGGUGUGUACAAGAGCACCCUGCAGUAAUGGAACAGCGUCCUGUCCGGGGUGGGUUCCCAUAUUGCUCCCUGAGCUGCCAGGAUAGGCUCCAACCACCUGCGGCCUCCACCGAAAUAAUUAGAAAACCUUUUUUUGGAAAGAAUCGAAACUAAAAACCCAACUAUUUAAAAAAUGGAAACUUUUGGCCGGGAACGGAGGCUCACACCUAUAAUCUCAGCACUUUGGGAGGCCGAAUGGGCGGAUCACAAGGUCAAGAGAUUGAGACCAUCCUGGCCAACGUGGUGAAACUCCGUCUCUACUAAAAAUACAAAAGUUAGCUGGGCAUGGUGGCACAUGCCUGUAGUCCCAGCUACUCGGGAGGCUGAGGCAGAAGAAUCGCUGGAACCCAGGAGGCGGAGGUUGCAGUGAGCCGAGACAGCACCACUGCACUCCAGACUGGCGACAGAGUGAGACUCCAUCUAAAAAAAAAAAAAAGGAACCUUUUGCCUUACUUCGUUUGCUAGCUACAUUCAAGUCUGCAAUUAAGCUCGGUGUUUUGCCUUUCUCAAACUGUGCACAGGUCCUCUUGUUUGUUCCCCUUCUCUCUGUUGCCUAGGAAUACAGCCAAAAACUUGAGUAAUAGAUGAUAGAUGGGUCUGUCACUAAGCACAUCCUAGUGACAUAGAUAAGAAGCAAAUGCUACAAAAUUAUAGGUGCAAACUACAAGUUGUGUUUUAAUUGGUUUUAACAAGUACUUAUAAGCAGAAGAACUGUGAAAAAUCUAACAUUUUGUCCUACUUGCAAGCCUGCCAGUCUUUUGAGUGCUGGGCAAAGACACAAUAGUGCUGGGUCAGAGACAAUUAACUUUACUACUCACAUUAAUAGCAUUAGCAAGAGUAUCAUGAUUUUCUUGCACUGAUUCCUCAAGCCGCAAUUCCCACAGAAAAGCUCAGGUGACACCUACAUGCUCAGUGGGUUGCAUUAGAAAAGAGGAACGCAGAGCUCAGGAAACAUGGAUAUUUUAUAAUGGCCAGUAAAGAUGUCCCUUUGCUUUAGAAAGAGGCACUACCUCUAUCCAAGGCUGCAAGCACACCUGCCUUUUGUUUUAGAAGGAGAAAUGAUUUCUAUCUUCCAAGGCUGUUCACUAUAUGAAAAGACAGUCCCAAACAAAAGGCAGUUACUGACUUGCUUGAAAAAUGUGCAGAAAUGAUACGCUGCUUGAAUGUGGACAGCUGACACAGGGACAAGGAGUAAAAAUGAUUAGGUUUUGAGCUUGACCAACUAGGAAGAUAAUUAUUAGCAGUAGAGAAAAAAAGAACAAAGUAGAUUUUAGGGCAGAUAAGCCAUUUUUUAGGUAGGUUGAGUCUGAGAUGCCUCCAUAAAUAUAAGUUGAAAAUAUGAGAUUGGAGUUGAGACUUCAGAAAUACAUAUUUUGAGUAGUUACACUACAGAGGUAAGUCAUCAGAGUUCAUAAAAUUAAAGUGAGAAAAAGAGGCAAGUGAAGAAAAACAAGAUGGCAUUGCAUGAAGAACUUUCUUAGGAAGGAAGGCAGCAAAGAGGUAAAAUUGGAGGUGUAGUCAGAGAUGGAAGAUGAAAAAGGAAAAUAACAAUAUUUCAGAAAUGAAAUGAAAAAGGUCUUUUACUAAGUAAUUGGUACUACUACUUGUCAGUUUCAAGUGCUGUAAAAAAAAUGGGAAGAACCACACAUGUGCACUUUCAGUACUAUGUAUUUUAUGCUUCAGGGAUGCAUACCUGUUUAACAAAAGUAUGUUUUUUCUCAAAGUGUGUUGAAUAGUCCAGAAAAAGAUGGAGGUAGAAGUCAGACUUCAGGAGAUAAAGGAACCAGAAAGAUCAUUGAAGGCUGUGAUGGUAGAAAACAUUUUGACAAAGAGUUGUGCAAUGAGAAAGCUAGGGGUGGGACAAUUAAUUUUGAGGGUAACAAUUGGGGAUUUGAGUAGAUUUUUUGCUUCUGUUCUUUAAUUGUUUUGUCUUCUUUUUAAAGAAACCAAGAGACUGUUAAUGUAGUAGGAGCAGAGUUUCACAAUACAGAGCAGAGAGGGUGUUGGUUGAUAAAGAAUUGUCUCAAAUGAGAGGAAAAGAAUGGAGCCAAUAACAGAGAUGAUGUUUAAUUUGGGAAAGGUGGGACAUGUUAACAUGAGUCCAGAGAACUAAAAUGAGCUUAUGGCAUGCAGAUGCUGAAGAUGAAGAAAGGAAAGGAAGGAAAAGGAGGAAUUUAUAUUUAUUUAUUGAAUAAUCUUGUAAAACUGUUAAUCACCCCUUUUUACUGACGAUAAGACAUAAAUGUCAGAGGUGUUUUGCCUAAAGUAAAAAAUUCGAUAGUCAAGCUGGGUUUAAAACCAUAUCAGUCUUACGUCAAAGCAUGUUUUAAUUGCUGUUGUGUGGUUGUGAUUUUAAGGGAAGAAGAAGAGUUUUAUAAUGGGUUCUCUGAAAAAUAAAAUAUCAAUUAGAAAGAAACAAAACAACUGCUGAGAAGCAGUGAAUCCAAGCAGAAUCUGAGUAUCAUCACUUUUUAGUUAAACUAACCAGUCCAAUAUCCUGAUUUUUCUUUAACAGGCAAAGAAUUUUUGAGUCUUUCCCAUAGACUGAGUUCUUGUGAACUAUUUUACAGCAAUAAUGGCAUCCAAUCCUAUAGAUAACAAUAACAAAGCUGCAGACCAUUUUGUUGCCAGGUUUCUCCUCCAGGGUGGCUUUCCAGCUAGUUUGUAAACAAAUAACUCAGGUGGCCCUGUCAUGUUACAUUAACUAAAAACCAAGUCUAAAGCACACAUAUAAUAACAUAUGUGUGUGCAAACUGGCUUGCUUUCAAAUUCCUAAAUCAUACAAUUAAAUUUUAAAAAUAACUGUAUUUGGAAACAAGAAAAAAGUCACUUUGACACCCAACUGAUGUAUAUAAAGGAGACUGUGCAUAUGGGUUUUAAAAUGAGAUGAAAAUUGAAAUUUGAUCUUUGAGAUUAAAAACAAUGUUAUGUAAAUCUAUUUUUAUUUAAUUUUUCUGAAAAAUAUUGUAUUUGCUUUAUACCCUCUUGCUAUACAAACUUAUAUUGUUUUGCUUACCCUCUUUUUUUAUUCCUCCUACUUUUUCUUAAUUUUGAUAUCUCUGAAUUUAAAGUCUAGAGAAUGAUUCAUCUUCACUAGUUCUAUCUUUUCCAGUGCUAGUAUUUUUGUUUUUGAGCUGUGGUUUCCCUAUCCCAUUUUUGAGAUCUCAAACUAUAAUUUGGUGUCGAGUACCCAGGUAUCUUAUCUUUAAAGUGAAGACGUAGGCAGCACAAAGGUGCUUUUAUUAGAACGUCCACUAGAUCAGAAUGACCAGUGCACAAAAUUUAUUUUCCUAGCAGACUCACCAAAUUUAACCUGGAAGAGAAUGUCUGACUCUGUUGAAUUUUCUUAGGCAAAUACAAUAUUUGAAAGUCACUGAAUGUUUCAAACAAAAUAUAACAACAUUCAGAUAACAGAACUGUGUUAUUGUUCUCAUGUGUUUAUGCCCAGAAAAUAAGCAGACUGGAGCUUCUCUAAGAUUAAAAGUCAAAACAGUAUUACAAUUCCAGCCCAGAUUUGACUAUCUAAUCAUUUAAACCUUAGUAUCAUCAUCAUCACCACCGUCACUGCAUACUCAUUAAGUUAAAAAAAAUUCCUUUAAAAUAAAUGGAAAAGAAAAUAUCUGUGUAAAUAGAUUAAAGCGAUUCCUGCUCACCACUCCCUUUCUCCCUGGGGCAGGAGACUUGAGCACAUCAAAGGAACUCAUAGCGUUCUUGGAGUAAGUGUGAAAGCCACCGUGAUGAACUAAAUGAAUGCUUACAUCUAAAGAAAGAUGUAAACAUAUUACAUUAAAAGGUGGCAUGACAUAAUGGUAUAUCACUGAUUAAGAAAUGUGAGGCGACUUUCAUGUGCCACUGAUAAAUCAUUAUAAUUUGACAUAGUAGAUAAUGCCCCUAUAUUUCAUCUGCAUACCUGGAAAAUGAGGACUUUCAAAACAUAUUCCUGCCAGUUACAGUCAGGUAUUGCAAAACAAGCAUUUAGUGAGCAUCUAAACUGAAGCUUAGAACUUCAGUUUUGUGGCGGGGCGCGGUGGCUCACGCCUGUAAUCCCAGCACCUUGGGAGGCCAAGACAGGCGGAUCACUUGAGGUCAGGAGUUUGGGACCAGCCUGGCCCACAUGGUGAAACCCCAUCUCUACUAAAAAUACAAAAAUUAGCCAGGCAUGGUUGCACGCACCUGUAGUCCCAGUUACUCAGGUGGCUGAGGCAGAAGAAUCGCUUGAACCUGGGUGGUGGAGAUUGCAGUGAGCUGAGAUCCUGCCACUGCACUCCAGCCUGGGCAAGAGAGUGAGACUCCAUCUCAAAAAAAUAAAGAACUCCAAUUUUAUUUUCUUCAUGGCAUAGCAUAAUAGAUGAGUUAACAAAUUAAUGAAACAGAUUGACAUGUGUUAAUUGCAAUCAUAUACAGAACAGAAAUCAUUUCCAUAAAAUAUUUAACCUGCCUGUUACUUCCCCUAAAUCUCUCUGUAGCUGAUGCCCCAAUUUCACUAUUAGCUCUUCAGACUUGGAUGUUAAGCACUGUGCCUUCCCCUGGACCUCUCUUUAAAUGUCACAGCUAUUUCUGGCAGGUAAGACUAUUGCUUUGGUUAGUGUGAACACACACCACUGUGGAUCACAAGGCACCUGAGAGAAAAGGCUGCCGAAAGCAGGAAAAUAACUCAGAAAAAAGAAAAAAAAACACAUGGUGCUGAAAAAUACAACAGAUAUGCAUUUGUAUACUUAUGAUCUAAUUUAUGUCAGUCAUUAAAAGAAAAUAAGGUGUUUAGAAAAUACAGUGCUGUCUAUGGUUAUAUUUAAUAUUGUGACCACUUAAUACAAAGCAAAGCAUUCUUGCUUGCUCUCAUGGAGAGUGCAAUUUAGAAUUGAGAGCUCAAUUUCUAAGGAGGGUUUAUGUACUCUAUCUUGAGGCACACCAAGGAGAUUGAGUUUACCAGUUUAGAAAGCACUGCCAUAAUUCAAGUCAGGGAGAGGGCUGAUGGAAGAUUUUUAAAAGAUUUUAAAAGAUCAUGAGGGCAAGCUGGCUUUUAACAAAACAAAAUAUUUCCAUGUGGCUUCUGGCUGACUGAAUUAAUAAGGCCCAGAGACUGAUCUGAAGGCAAAAGCCUUUAUUUUUUAUUGCAAUGGAGAAAAACUGAACAUUAUUUGACUAUCAGUUGUGAAGUUUAGUAAAAAGAUUUUCACUAAUGGGUGGUUUUAAUAUUUAUGAAUGUGAUGGUUCAGCAAAUUUUCUCCAAUGUUUUGCAAGACCACUAAUUAAUAAUCAUCUUUACAAAUGGAACAUGUAAUUGUCUGCUACUAUUUUUUCUUUGCCAAUGCUUAAUACUUAUUUUGAAUACGUUUUAUUUUUUUUCUAAAUUUCUCUAUUUAUUUCUACCUGAGCAUUUCUUAAUUUUUUUAUUCAGUCCUGUUAUUCUCACUGUAGGAUUUUUAAAAGCUGGUAUAUUAUAUUAAAAUCCUUCAACUGUGAAUUCAGCAAUGUUUUGAGUUCCAGGGAUUCAUCUGGCAUUAGGCUGACCUUGUCAAGCAUAAACAUCAACAUUAAAGAAAAUAUUUAAGAAAUGAAAGGCCUGAAUCAAAAUAAGAGGUCAAAUUUUCCAGGGUGUUUUGUGUCUUGAAAAUCUUUCUGCUGUAAUUACCUAAAGACUGUGGUUAGAUAAUUAUUGAGGGACUUUUGCAAUUGUCCCUUUUCUCUAUAUAGAUCACCACAUUAAUUAAACGAGAGUCUCACUGGGAACAGGUUGCUGUUCUGCAUCUUUAAGUAUUUUUAGUACUUUAUUUUCAAAAGAGAAAAAGAACCACUAAGAAGAAGAUUGCUUCUCAGCCAAAUUUUCUGAUAUACAGAUAUUCUCAAAAGACAAGCACACACACACACGCACACACACACACACACACACACACACACACCCCCCAAGGCUCUGGAAUGUGCCUUAACAAUCUUAUUUUUGCACAUUUUAAAAGGAGGUCAUUAUGAAAUUUGCACAUAUUUUAUGACCUGUAAUGUACUUCUCUGAUCUGAUUUCACUUGAGCUAAUAAAAAAAUACAAAUCAGGUGCUUGCUGUGAUCAAGAUGCUAAAGUUAUAUUUACACUGCUUCAUAAAUGUAAGGUGUUAAAGCUUAGUGAGACAAGAAGUAAACUGAUAAUUGAUUAACCAGGGUGCUAUACAAAUCUACCUAGAGGGUGCCUUCCCAGGUUAAUGCAAUUAUGGGAGAAAGAUCCUGGCUCCUGGCUACAGAAAUGCCAACUAAAGUGUUAUCCACCCCAUCCUUCACUUUGGAGGAUGCGUUAAGAUGACACUGUGCUGUGUCAAAAUGAAAAUACAAACAAAAGCAAAUAAACCGAGUGAUAAUAAAUAAACCGAGUGACUCAGUUUCCUUAUCCAUUUUCCAGUUACCUUUUUUUUUUUAGGCCAGUCUGCAUGUCCACUAGAAGAAAAGGGACCUGGGUUCUUCAUCAGCCCAUCCUUAGAUCUUAGUGCACAUAUGCACCUAGUAAGUGCCGAGCAAAUAUUCAAUGAAUGACUGUACCUUUCCUAAGAAUUCUUCGUUGAUUAUCCUUCAACAGAGCUAACUUCUCUCCCUAUGUGCUCAGUCAAAUGCUCUCCCAUUGGACUGAGUUCAGCAUAAACUGCCAUGUUUUGAGAUGAUUGGUGUAAGCGAAUGUCCUCUCCUGAGUUGCGAGAAUCUAAGAGCAGGACAACAUCACAUGCUUCUCUACUUUCUAUAGUUCUUUUGUCCACUGUCUAACAAAUAAUGCCAAGUGAAAAAGGGAAAAAUGAAUGAAUAAAUUUUGUAAGAUGCCAAUGGAAAAAAACAGAAAAUCAAGAGUUACUAAAAAAAACCACUAACUCCAUUUAAUUGUUUUAGACUAAGAAUCCCUCAGUGAUACCUAGCCAAAAUUAGGAUUCAGAUCCAAAAUAAAAGAUACUGUUGCCCCAAGUAGAUAUCAUAAUUUGUUACAAUAAGUAAAAAUGUAUAUUAUUCAAUACUAAACUGUUAUACCACAUUUCAAGUUUUUAAAACUUUAUCUUCCUUUUAUGCAUAGAUAGUAGUAGAGCAUUAAGAACAUGCAUGGCUAUCACCUGAGGUGUUGAUUGUAAAUUCACAUUCCUAGGCUUUGUCUCUUAACUACUGAAUCGGAAUCUUUGGGAGUGAACUGACAGGAAUCUGAAUUUUAAAAAUAAGGUCUUCAGGUGAUUCUCAUGCAUCUAAAGAUAACUGCUUUAAUAUAUAACAAAGAAACCCAAAGAGGGACACUUGAGGAUUUUUUCAAUAUAUCUUCUUUUGCAGAGAUUAAUAGUGAAUGUUGUUUUAUCUGCUGUUUAGAAUUUUACAUAUGCAUUGGAUGAUACAUCUUCUUUUACUGACAAAAAGGCUUUUCUCUGGAGAAAAUAAAAAGGCAGCUUUCCCUGAGAGCACACACUUCUAGCAAAGCCCCAAUCCAUAUGACUCUAAGACAGAGUGAUUUCCACCUUCUAGUCCUUACUUUCUUGCAAAAGGGGCUUUCAAAUCUCAUUACUGAUGGUCCCAUCUUUUAUUACUGGUGUUAUCAAUGGGAUGCUUGCAGCAGCUUAAGUAUGUGGAUAAAGAAGGAAUGCACAAUAUACGGUACUGAAUAUUUUUAAAAAGUGGUCUUUCAGAAUGUCUGUAUGUGUGGGGGCCCAUGCUUAGGCAUAUGUGCAUGCCAGUGUGUUAUUUAUGUUGAAACCAAUGUUUUACAUUAAUGGCUGGAAUUCCAGAAAAAUAAGAAAAUAUUUGUAUUUUCUAAACCAUUAAAAGUUUAGUGGAACUCAUUAAUAGUCUGUAUCAUCUCUCUGUAUAUUUCAGAAGUACAUUUUAAGUGUAACAGCUAGGGGUAAACUUUCAUAACUGUAUGAUUUGAACACAAGUACAAGAAAUAUUCAAGGUUUUCUUUUCUUUUUUUUUUUUAGAUGAAGUCUCACUCUUAUCGCCGUAGCUAUAGUGCAAUGGCGCUGUCUCAGCUCACUGCAACCUCCGCCUCCUAGGUUAAAGCAAUUCUCCUGCCUCAGCCUCCGUAGUAGCUGGGAUUACAGGAUCCUGCCACCACACCCACUAAUUUUUGUAUUUUUGGUAGAGAAUGGGUUUCACCAUGUUGGACAGGCUGGUCAUGAACUCCUGACCUCAGUCGAUCCACCCGCCUUGGCCUCCCAAAGUGCUGGAUUACAGGUGUCCACCGCGCCUGGCCAAUAUUCAAGUUUACACAGGAAAAAGAAUACUUUCUCUGCAUAACCUUUACUUAUUUACUCAUAAGCCUCUAGUUCUCUCUGGAUUUGACUGUAAAUCUCAACACAUUUCCCAGAAACUAACAUCUUCUGGCUGACUUCUAUUAAAAAUUCAGACAAAGAAAAAAACUGAAUACAAUGGAGAGAGAUUAUAAUACUGCUAUUCUCCCAUUCUCUCUCUCUACAGCAUAUCACCUCCUCCAAAAUCAGUUCAUAUCUAACUCCUAGCACAUUUUUAGUUAAAAAUAUACAUGCACAAAAUAUAUGUGUAAAUACACAUGCUGAUAUCACACAUAUGUGUGUGUGUGUGUGUAUAUAUAUAUACACAAAAGCAGAUAUAUAUAUAUAUAUAUAUAUACACAAAAGCAGAUAUAUAUAUAUGCUUUCUU
rnacentral:lncRNA from 1 species